GCACGUUGAACACGACCGAGACAUCGACAUCACUAUUUUGUUUCGCCAGAUUUGGUCAUCGAAUCACGACAAAACCCAUCCUCUCUCAAUCCACCAACGUAACACCUAUAUAUAUACAGAUAUAUAUAAUUCAAAUAGCGAUCGAAUUUAAAUUCAAAUUCUUGAAUUCUCCAUUAUUCAAUAUCUCAGAUAUUACAGCUACCGAUAGUAUUCCAGUUCAACUCUCUCUCUCUCUCUUUCUCUCUCUCUCUCUAUGUAUAUAUAUCAUUUCAUAAU
rnacentral:lncRNA from 1 species